GGAGAGACAAGCAGAGUGUGCACACUAUUCAUUCAAACUGACAGAGGCUGUGUGUGUGUGUGUGUGUGUGUGUGUCCCGGUUUGCACUUCCCACUGCUCCACAGUGUCUCUCGAUCUGUCUCUCUCUCUCCUCCCUCACUCCCUCACUCCCUCUCUUUCUCUCUCUCCAGACAGUCUGCAGUUUACAGCAGCAGGAAGGAGACGCCGAGCAGCCACUGGAGAGGAAGAAAGAAAGAAAGAAAGAAAGAAAGACACAGAGAGAAAGAUUUGUGACAAAUGAGAGACAAGGAGAAAAGGAAGUGAGAGAGAGAGAGAGCGAGGAGGAAGGAAGUGAUGAAAAGUAGGGAUUUUGAAGAUGAGUAAAAGAUGAGAGGAUGAGGGAAAGACAGACAGAGAGCGGUGGCUUGGCUGUUCAAUGGGAGGGGUGCAAACAGAGGUGUAGAGACAGAGGAAUGCAGAGACAGGGACGGCGACACUGCUGCUCCUGCAGACGAGGAUUUUGGAGUGAAGCCGGUGAUGGUUACACGAGCUGACAACCGAGCAUUUCCAUUAACCAGAGCGGAGAUGUCCGAUAAUUACGCAGAAAUGACAGAAACGACAGAAACGGGCAAUAAAAGACGGCAGAACCGAAGCCAAGCAAAUAUUUGUAAGUAUAUAUGGUAAGGUUUAUUUCCUAUUUUAAUUUUAAUGAAGUAAUGGGUAAAAUCCUGCAGGUAUAGCUGGGCUUUACAUGAUCACAUGAAAUAUCAAACCUGAGUUUGUUUGCUGCUGUAAGACAGGCGUGUUUGAGCAUGUCUGAACCAAGGAUCUUCAUUCUUCAAUAAAAAUAAUCAUAAUAUAUAAUAACCGUGAGGUAGACAAAUGUUUUGACUGCCUUUCAAGGUUGAACAUGUCCCUCAGACUGCCUUUUAAACUUAAUACCAAUGAAGAAUAUACUCAGGCUUUGAUACCACUAGAUGAGUUACCUGCUAACUAAAAAAGCAAAAGGAUGAUUUAUUAAAACCCAUAUCCUGAACUUAAAAUUCAAAUCUAUCAGUGAAUGAUGUUAAUGUUAUGCACUCAGCAAGUUGUGUUAUUAAAUAAAAACACGUCACACUUUCUUCUGUUAUUGUCCUCAUUAUGAUGAAUUAUUAUUAUUAUUAUUCACUUUCACUGAAUAA